GGGGAGGUACCAAAGCGGCCAAAUGGGGCAGACUGUAAAUCUGUUGGCUUAUGCCUUCGGUGGUUCGAAUCCGCCCCUCCCCACCA
rnacentral:tRNA from 1 species